AGGUCCUCUGAAAUCCGCAGCCAGGGAUGACCGAUUGUAUUCAAGUUCAAGGGUUCCCCCCCACCCCCCCAUCAAAACAAACCCGGGGAAUGGAGUGAGCCUGUCUGUGAGCAGACCAUCAAUGACGUUACCCAUGAGAACCUCAAUUCAACGAGAAACCUCUGAUGACCGUCUUCUCGCUUCGUCUUCACAUGGCCUUUUCUUUUGUUGACAUAAGAACGUCCAAAGCUGUGGAUAAUUUUUACAAGGGUUUAUUUGCACCAAAAUUGAUGACAAUUGCCGGGAAGCAAGAUCUCAAAUGCUCUGGAGAAUGGCAGCUUGCAGUUUCUUUUAUGCAUUUGAAAUUAAGAAGUUAUCAACCGUUGAUUGUCGGCGCCAGUUCAAUGCCAAUAGGAAUCCCUAAUUUGGGAUGUGGUGAAGAAAGAAACUUUAUUUAGUGCAGCCAGCUCAGUUGUGAUACAGCAUGGCUUUAGAACAGCUCAA